rnacentral:tRNA from 1 species
GGGCGCGUAGCUCAAUGGUUAGUAGCUGGUUCCUCAUAAGAACUUGGUUGGGGGUUCGAGUCCCUCCGCGCCCACCA